rnacentral:tRNA from 1 species
UUGGUGGCGGGCGGGCUGCCGGGCGCGCGGCUGAUGGCCGCGUUGGCGAUGAACUCGCCGGUGAACAGGCCGUUCGACCCGACCUGCAGGAC